GGGGAAUAUUGGACAAUGGGGGGAACCCUGAUCCAGCCAUGCCGCGUGUGUGAAGAAGGCCUUAUGGUUGUAAAGCACUUUAAGCGAGGAGGAGGCUCUUUUGGUUAAUACCCAAGAUGAGUGGACGUUACUCGCAGAAUAAGCACCGGCUAACUCUGUGCCAGCAGCCGCGGUAAUACAGAGGGUGCGAGCGUUAAUCGGAUUUACUGGGCGUAAAGCGUGCGUAGGCGGCUUUUUAAGUCGGAUGUGAAAUCCCCGAGCUUAACUUGGGAAUUGCAGUGGAUACUGGAUCACUAGAGUGUGGCAGAGGGUAGUGGAAUUCCCGGUGUAGCAGUGAAAUGCGUAGAGAUCGGGAGGAACAUCAGUGGCGAAGGCGACUGCCUGGGCCAACACUGACACUGAGGCACGAAAGCGUGGGGAGCAAACA
rnacentral:rRNA from 1 species